UUUAUCGGAGAGUUUGAUCCUGGCUCAGGACGAACGCUGGCGGCGUGCCUAAUACAUGCAAGUCGAGCGGACAGAUGGGAGCUUGCUCCCUGAUGUUAGCGGCGGACGGGUGAGUAACACGUGGGUAACCUGCCUGUAAGACUGGGAUAACUCCGGGAAACCGGGGCUAAUACCGGAUGCUUGAUUGAACCGCAUGGUUCAAUUAUAAAAGGUGGCUUUUAGCUACCACUUACAGAUGGACCCGCGGCGCAUUAGCUAGUUGGUGAGGUAACGGCUCACCAAGGCGACGAUGCGUAGCCGACCUGAGAGGGUGAUCGGCCACACUGGGACUGAGACACGGCCCAGACU
rnacentral:rRNA from 2 species